rnacentral:rRNA from 1 species
CAGCAGCCGCGGGAAUACGAAGGGGGCUAGCGUUGUUCGGAAUUACUGGGCGUAAAGCGCACGUAGGCGGAUAUUUAAGUCAGGGGUGAAAUCCCAGAGCUCAACUCUGGAACUGCCUUUGAUACUGGGUAUCUUGAGUAUGGAAGAGGUUAGUGGAAUUGCGAGUGUAGAGGUGAAAUUCGUAGAUAUUCGCAGGAACACCAGUGGCGAAAGCGGCUCUCUGGCCCGGAUCUGACGCUGAGGCGCGAAAGCGUGGGGAGCAAACAGGAUUAGAUACCCGAGUAGUCCCUGUCUCUUAUAC